rnacentral:rRNA from 1 species
GAUGCAACGCGAAGAACCUUACCUGGUCUUGACAUCCACGGAAGUUUUCAGAGAUGAGAAUGUGCCUUCGGGAACCGUGAGACAGGUGCUGCAUGGCUGUCGUCAGCUCGUGUUGUGAAAUGUUGGGUUAAGUCCCGCAACGAGCGCAACCCUUAUCCUUUGUUGCCAGCGGUCCGGCCGGGAACUCAAAGGAGACUGCCAGUGAUAAACUGGAGGAAGGUGGGGAUGACGUCAAGUCAUCAUGGCCCUUACGACCAGGGCUACACACGUGCUACAAUGGCGCAUACAAAGAGAAGCGAUCUCGCGAGAGCAAGCGGACCUCAUAAAGUGCGUCGUAGUCCGGAUUGGAGUCUGCAACUCGACUCCAUGAAGUCGGAAUCGCUAGUAAUCGUGGAUCAGAAUGCCACGGUGAAUACGUUCCCGGGCCUUGUACACACCGCCCGUCACACCAUGGGAGUGGGUUGCAAAAGAAGUAGGUAGCUUAACCUUCGGGAGG